rnacentral:rRNA from 1 species
GUCUAUGGCCAUACCACUCUGAACGCAUCCAAUCUCAUCUGGUCUCGAAAGCUAAGCAGGGUUGGGCCUGGUUAUUACUUGGGUGGAAGACAGAUCUUCAGAAGAGACUGCUCAAAGACU